rnacentral:rRNA from 1 species
UACGAAGGGGGCUAGCGUUGCUCGGAAUCACUGGGCGUAAAGCGCGCGUAGGCGGCUUUUUAAGUCGGGGGUGAAAUCCUGGAGCUCAACUCCAGAACUGCCUUUGAUACUGAAGAUCUUGAGUUCGGGAGAGGUGAGUGGAACUGCGAGUGUAGAGGUGAAAUUCGUAGAUAUUCGCAAGAACACCAGUGGCGAAGGCGGCUCACUGGCCCGAUACUGACGCUGAGGCGCGAAAGCGUGGGGAGCAAACAGG